rnacentral:rRNA from 1 species
GACAGAGGUGCCGAGCGUUAGGCGGAAUCACUGGGCUUAAAGCGUGUGUAGGCGGAUGCCUAAGUACCUUGUGAAAUCCCACGGCUUAACCGUGGAACUGCUUGGUAUACUGGGUGUCUUGAGCCACUUAGGGGCGACCGGAACAAACGGUGGAGCGGUGAAAUGCGUAGAUAUCGUUUGGAACGCCAAUGGUGAAAACAGGUCGCUGGGAGUGUGCUGACGCUGAGACACGAAAGCCAGGGGAGCAAACGGG